AACGAACGCUGGCGGCAUGCCUAACACAUGCAAGUCGAACGAGACCUUCGGGUCUAGUGGCGCACGGGUGCGUAACGCGUGGGAAUUUGCCUCGGGGUACGGAAUAACUCAGGGAAACUUGAGCUAAUACCGUAUGAUGUCUUCGGACCAAAGAUUUAUCGCCCUGAGAUAAGCCCGCGUAGGAUUAGCUAGUUGGUGAGGUAAGAGCUCACCAAGGCGACGAUCCUUAGCUGGUCUGAGAGGAUGAUCAGCCACACUGGGACUGAGACACGGCCCAGACUCCUACGGGAGGCAGCAGUGGGGAAUAUUGGACAAUGGGCGAAAGCCUGAUCCAGCAAUGCCGCGUGAGUGAUGAAGGCCUUCGGUUGUAAAGCUCUUUGU
rnacentral:rRNA from 1 species